UCCUGGGCGGAGCGGGCGGGUGGUCGGGCCAGGCCACACCCCAGGCCGCGCCCGCGCCUGCGCCUCAGCCCCGGCUUCAUCUUCCCUGUCUUGUUCCUGAGCGCAGAGGGCUCCUCCGGCCCAGCCGAGCUGCGCCCGCUGCCUUCACACCCCGGACAUCCGCGCCACACGGACCCAGACCCCAGGAGGCCUCACCCCACAGCAAGAGAAAGACCACCAGCAUGGACAUGAUGGUCGCGCUCACUCCGGUGCAGUGAGUGUCUGGGUGUUGGAUCCUGGAUCCUGUUCUAGAAAGAGACGCUGAGUUCUCCCCACUCUACCUGGAGCUGCUGAGGUCAAGUGGAGAGUGCCGGGGCUGAAGCCCAGCGAGCCCCUCCCUGUCACACCACACUGCACAUGUGACACCAAAGGCAUUUAUUGAGCAUCUACUGUGUGCCAGAUGCAAAGAAGACAGUGGGAUAACUGGGCAAGGAGCAUUCCAGGCAGAGGGAGCAGCCAGUGCAAACACGGGAUAUGCGGUUGCAGUGAGAAGGAGCAGAGACCAGGAGUUGAGGCGACUGCAGAGCGAUUGCAGAGCUCAGAGGCGUGAUGAAGACCAGCUGGGCACUGCAGCGGCUCUGGCUUCUGCUGUGAGGGACGGGGAGCUGUGGAGACUCCCUCUGUUUGGUCCCAUUUCCAUAUUGCUGAGCACCUGCUGCAUGCUCUCUGUCCUGCUCAGAGCCAGUACCUGGAUGGAGGCUGUGUGUUCUGGGUGGACUGGGGGAGAAUGCAUUCUUUGCAGAAGAGACAACCAGGUGCUGAGGCCUGAAGUCAUAACCAGACCUGAGGCACUCAGACAAGGACUGGUGGCCAGGCCAGAGGAGCAGAGCUCAGGGUGUGCACAGAACUCAGAAGUCAGACCAUUGAACAGUGACCGAACCUUUCAGCCCAUUGGCAAUGAGGCUGCCCAGGCAGCCAGAGGCCUGGUCAAAUCUGAGGUCUGCAGAGAUGGAGCUGUCAUUCUGUGUUUCCUUUGGCAGUCCCAACACCAGCCUCGUUGCACCCUCCUCUUAGCUCCCCUGGGUUCUCCAGCCCUAAGGGUGGUAGCAGCUUCCUGCAAGUAUCCAGCUCUGAGAUUCUGCAACAUCCACUUUUGCUCUCUGAGCCUUGCAAAACCUGCACAAUCAGUCCCUAACUUAUAUCCCCUCUGUUUGAAAUACCUAGUGUGGUUUCUAUUUCCUGA